GACAAUCGAUUCGGUCCGGAUCUCUUUCCGGUUUUCGCAGCUCAUCAUUUCCCCGCCAUUUUGCGGGACGCGUCUUUUCUUGUGUUGCAUGCUAAGGAGCCGCUAAUAAAUCUAGAUAUAUUACCUGUGUGCGAAUUCCUGUGAAAGUAAUUGGUGUGAUCCGCAUUCGUGGCGAAGAGCAAUAACACUGCUAUGAUUAAAGCAGAGGAGGUGCAAAUGCAAAACAGUAACGAAGACAGGGACCGAAGUCGAGAACGUGAUCGUAACCGCAGAUCUGACAGACAACCGCGAAUGAAUUCAACCAGUCGCGAUCGUAGCCGCGAACGGAACGACCGAAGUGCCGGAAGAAAGGUAUCCGAUCGACGAAUCUACGUAUCCAAUAUUCCUUACGAUUUUCGGUGGCAGGACUUAAAAGAUCUCUUCCGAAAUGAAGUUGGAAAAGUUGCUCACGUUGAGUUAUUUAUGGAUGAAAAUGAUAAGCCAAGAGGAUGCGGCAUUGUUGAAUUUGAAGACGCAGACUCGGUGAAAAUAGCCGUUGAUAAAAUGCAUCGAUUUGAUAUCAAAGGCAGGAAGCUGGUCGUUAAAGAAGAUUACGACGUCGAGCGAGACAAGUAUGGUCGGCUAGCAUCGACACGCAAUAAUGAUCGACCACGAGAAGACAGAUUUAGAGAUCCUCCACGAUCCAGUGGCGGUCGACAAAAUAUGCAAACACCCGUUGGAGGUGGUAGUGGAGGUGGUGGCGGUGAUAAUAAAUUUGGAAAUACGUAUGGCCUCAGUACGCAGUUCUUGGAGUCCUUGGGAAUUUCUGGUCCUCUGGUUACCAGAGUCUUUGUUGCAAACUUGGAUUACAAAGUUGAUGAGAAAAAACUACUUGAAGUUUUCAAAUUAGCUGGUAAAGUACUUCACGUCGAGCUCGGCAAAGACAAAGAUGGAAAAUCUAGAGGUUUUGGGGUUGUGGAGUAUGAUCAUCCCGUUGAAUCAGUCCAAGCCAUAUCUAUGCUCCAUAAUCAACAACUUUUUGACCGCCGUAUGACUGUGAGGCUUGACCGUGCCAAUGAGCCUGAUAUGCCUCCUAAACUCCCUGAAGGUUUGAAAGGAAUUGGUAUGGGUCUCGGUGCUGGUGGAAAUCGAUUGAUGGAUGUAGCUAGGAACAUUCCAAGUGUGCAACCAAAUAAUCCUCCAGCAGUUAACCCUAUCUCAACACCAGUCCUUGCCACAGGAGCAUUCGGCAGUGGGCUAAAUAAUGUUGUACCUGCACAACUAGCAUCUGCACUCUCAAAUUCGAAUGCGGCAGCACUUCAAGCCAGUUUAGCUGGUGGUUUGGGUGGCAAUCUAGCAACCAGUUCAUUGUUGAAUUCGUCCCUCACAAAUGAAUUAGCAUCAAAUCUCAACAACUUUGGAGGUGGAGUUGGAGGGCUUUCUAAUCUUCAAGCUUCUUUUGCCAAUGCUCAAAGCAACCUUGGUGCCUUUGCACCUAGGGGUAUGGGAAAGUUGGACAACGAAGUAGGGUUUGGUGGAAGUAACAGUUUUGGUGGUUCAAAUUUUGGUAGCAGGGAUUUCGAUGGGAACUUUAGAGGAGACAAUGAUCGUAUGUCCGGAGGAACAGCGGCAUUUUCUACAAAUCAAAACCAAAGUGUAGGUGGAAAUCGACAAAAUACCAAUGGUGGAAGAUCUUCCGAUACAAUUCUAAUUGGCAAUUUACCACCAAGUACCACAUGGCAGAUGUUACGUGAUAAAUUUCAAGAUGUUGGUGAAGUGAAAUUUGCUGAGAUGCGGGGCUCUGACAUGGGAUUAGUCCGAUUUGCUUCCGAAUGGGAAGCUGAGCGAGCUGUCGCAAUGAUGGACCGAUCACGCAUUGAUGGUAGGAACAUUGACGUUCGCCUCUACUAAUGCUUCGCCUCCAAGGACGAAAUCGAUUCCUGUGCCGAAGUGAGGGAAACGAAGAACCAAAAAGGAAUUUCGUACUGUAACUUGAAGAAUCGAUCCAAUACAGUAAUAAAAUACGUGGAACGGAAUAUGAUCAAUAAUUGGAAAAUAACGUAAAAUGUAUCCAGAGGUGUGUGUAUGAGUAUGUGUGAAAAAAUAAAGGAUAGCUGGUAUACUUCUCUUAA
rnacentral:misc_RNA from 1 species